UUACAAAUUAGGAUUGGGUGAAACCUCCU
rnacentral:piRNA from 1 species